UACGAACCGUGCAAACGUUGUUCGGAAUCACUGGGCUUAAAGGGCGCGUAGGCGGGCCAGCCAGUCUGUGGUGAAAGCCUCCAGCUUAACUGGAGAAGUGCCGUGGAUACUGCUGGCCUCGAGGAGGAUAGGGGCAUCUGGAACGGUCGGUGGAGCGGUGAAAUGCGUUGAUAUCGACCGGAACUCCGGUGGCGAAGGCGAGGUGCUGGGUCCUUUCUGACGCUGAUGCGCGAAAGCCAGGGGAGCAAACGGG
rnacentral:rRNA from 1 species